rnacentral:rRNA from 1 species
GACGAACGCUGGCGGCGUGCUUAACACAUGCAAGUCGAACGGAAAGGCCCUGCUUUUGUGGGGUGCUCGAGUGGCGAACGGGUGAGUAACACGUGAGUAACCUGCCCUUGACUUUGGGAUAACUUCAGGAAACUGGGGCUAAUACCGGAUAGGAGCUCCUGCUGCAUGGGGGGGGUUGGAAAGUUUCGGCGGUUGGGGAUGGACUCGCGGCUUAUCAGCUUGUUGGUGGGGUAGUGGCUUACCAAGGCUUUGACGGGUAGCCGGCCUGAGAGGGUGACCGGCCACAUUGGGACUGAGAUACGGCCCAGACUCCUACGGGAGGCAGCAGGGGGGAAUAUUGCACAAUGGGCGGAAGCCUGAUGCAGCAACGCCGCGUGCGGGAUGACGGCCUUCGGGUUGUAAACCGCUUUCGCCUGUGACGAAGCCUGAGUGACGGUAAUGGGUAAAGAAGCACCGGCUAACUACGUG